rnacentral:ncRNA from 1 species
AGGGGCCGCGCCGCGACAGGUUCCCCGCGAGGGGAUCAAAAGGGAACUCGGGUGAAAGCCCCGGGCUGCCCCUGCAACUGUAAGCGGCGAGCCGUCCGGCCAUUACGCCAUUGGGACCAUCAGUCCUGAGAAGGCGGCCGGAACGGCGCUGACCCGCAAGCCAGGAGACCUGCCUGACGCAGUCGUUCUUCA